UACGGGGGGGACAAGCGUUGUUCGGAUUUACUGGGCGUAAAGGGCGCGUAGGCGGGUCUUCAAGUUGGAUGUGAAAUCCGGUAGCUUAACUACCGGCCUGCAUUCAAAACUGUUGAUCUUGAGUCGGGAAGAGGAAAGCGGAAUUCCAGGUGUAGCGGUGAAAUGCGUAGAUAUCUGGAAGAACACCGGUAGCGAAGGCGGCUUUCUGGUCCCACACUGACGCUAAAGCGCGAAGGCAUGGGUAGCAAACAGG
rnacentral:rRNA from 1 species